rnacentral:misc_RNA from 1 species
AGCAGCCGCGGUAAUUCCAGCUCCAAUAGCGUAUAUUAAAGUUGUUGCAGUUAAAAAGCUCGUAGUUGAAUUUCGGGAUCAAUUUGCUGGUCGUGCCUCUGGUACGUACUGGUAUUAUUGGUUUCUCCCUUCUGACGAACCAUGAUGUCAUUAAUUUGAUGUCGUGGAGAAUCAGGACUGUUACUUUGAAAAAUUAGAGUGUUUAAAGCAGGCAUUAGCUUGAAUACAUUAGCAUGGAAUAAUGAAAUAGGACGUUUGAUCCUAUUUUGUUGGUUUCUAGGAUUGACGUAAUGAUUAAUAGGGAUAGUUGGGGGCAUUAGUAUUCAAUUGUCAGAGGUGAAAUUCUUGGAUUUAUUGAAGACUAACUACUGCGAAAGCAUUUGCCAAGGAUGUUUUCAUUAAUCAAGAACGAAAGUUAGGGGAUCGAAGACGAUCAGAUACCGUCGUAGUCUUAACCAUAAACUAUGCCGACUAGGGAUCGGAUGAUGUUAAUUUUUAAUGACUUCAUUCC